rnacentral:rRNA from 1 species
GCUGGUCUGAGAGGAUGAUCAGCCACACUGGGACUGACACACGGCCCAGACUCCUACGGGAGGCAGCAGUGAGGAAUUUUGCGCAAUGGGGGAAACCCUGACGCAGCAACGCCGCGUGAGUGAUGAAGGCUUUCGGGUCGUAAAGCUCUGUCAAGUGGGAAGAAACCACGAGGCGCUAAUAUCGCUUUGUGCUGACGGUACCACUGAAGGAAGCACCGGCUAACUCCGUGCCAGCAGCCGCGGUAAUACGGGGGGUGCAAGCGUUAUUCGGAAUCAUUGGGCGUAAAGGGCGCGUAGGCGGUUUGUUAAGUCAGAUGUGAAAGCCCGGGGCUCAACCCCGGAAGUGCAUUUGAUACUGGCGAACUUGAGUAUGGGAGAGGGAAGUGGAAUUCCUGGUGUAGAGGUGAAAUUCGUAGAUAUCAGGAGGAACACCGGUGGCGAAGGCGACUUCCUGGACCAAUACUGACGCUGAGGCGCGAAGGCGUGGGUAGCAAACAGGAUUAGAUACCCUGGUAGUCCACGCAGUAAACGGUGAUCACUAGGUGUAGCGGGUAUUGACCCCUGCUGUGCCGCAGUUAACGCAUUAAGUGAUCCGCCUGGGGAGUACGGCCGCAAGGUUAAAACUCAAAGGAAUUGACGGGGGCCCGCACAAGCGGUGGAGCAUGUGGUUUAAUUCGACGCAACGCGAAGAACCUUACCUGGGUUUGACAUCUCGGGGAUUUUUUGGAAACAAGAAAGUGCCCUUUGGGGAGCCCGAAGACACGUGCUGCAUGGCUGUCGUCAGCUCGUGUCGUGAGAUGUUGGGUUAAGUCCCGCAACGAGCGCAACCCUUAUCUUUAGUUACCAUCACUUCGGGUGGGGACUCUAAAGAUACUGCCCCGGUCAACGGGGAGGGAGGUGGGGAUGACGUCAAGUCCUCAUGGCCUUUAUGCCCAGGGCUACACGCGUGCUACAAUGGGCGAUACAAAGGGUAGCGAGCCUGCGAAGGUGAGCCAAUCCCAAAAAGUCGUUCUUAGUUCGGAUUGGAGUCUGCAACUCGACUCCAUGAAGCUGGAAUCGCUAGUAAUCGCGGAUCAGCACGCCGCGGUGAAUACGUUCCCGGGCCUUGUACACACCGCCCGUCACACCAUGAGAGUUGGUUGUACCAGAAGUUGUUGGGCUAACCCGCAAGGGAGGCAGGCACCUAAGGUAUGGCUGAUGAUUGGGGUGAAGUCGUAACAAGGUA